CCCUUUGAAANUCUAAGACCAUUGCUGGCGGCAUGCCUAACACAUGCAAGUCGAACGGUAACGCGAGAAGCUUGCUUCUUGGCGACGAGUGGCGGACGGGUGAGUAAUGCUUAGGAAUCUGCCCAGUAGUGGGGGACAACUCGAGGAAACUCGAGCUAAUACCGCAUACGCCCUACGGGGGAAAGCGGGGGAUCUUCGGACCUCGCGCUAUUGGAUGAGCCUAAGUCGGAUUAGCUUGUUGGUAGGGUAACGGCCUACCAAGGCGACGAUCCGUAGCUGGUCUGAGAGGACGAUCAGCCACACUGGGACUGAGACACGGCCCAGACUCCUACGGGAGGCAGCAGUGGGGAAUAUUGGACAAUGGGGGCAACCCUGAUCCAGCAAUGCCGCGUGUGAAGAAGGCCUGCGGGUUGUAAAGCACUUUCAGUAGAGAAGAAAAGCUUACGGUUAAUACCCGUGAGUCUUGACGUAACCUACAGAAGAAGCACCGGCUAACUCCGUGCCACAGCCGCGGUAAUACGGAGGGUGCGACCGUAAUCGGAAUUCUGGGCCUAAAGCCCCCCUAGGCCGUU
rnacentral:rRNA from 1 species